rnacentral:rRNA from 1 species
GUGGGGAAUUUUGCGCAAUGGGCGAAAGCCUGACGCAGCAAUGCCGCGUGAAGGACGAAGGUCUUCGGAUUGUAAACUUCUUUUGCAGGGGAAAAAUGUACGGGUGAAAAACCCGUAUUGAUGGUACUCUGCGAAUAAGCCACGGCUAACUUCGUGCCAGCAGCCGCGGUAAGACGAAGGUGGCAAGCGUUACUCGGAUUUACUAGGCGUAAAGCGUGGGCAGGUGGUUCGAUAAGUCUGUUGUGAAAGCUCCUGGCUUAACCGGGAGAGGUCAAUGGAUACUGUCGGACUUGAAUGUGGGAGAGGUGACUGGAAUUCCUGGUGUAGCGGUGAAAUGCGUAGAUAUCAGGAGGAACACCGAUGGCGAAAGCAGGUCACUGGACCACUAUUGACACUCAUCCACGAAAGCUAGGGGAUCAAACAGGAUUAGAUACCCUGGUAGUCC